CUAUAACAUGCCACUACACACCAACCAAAAUGGCUGAAAUGAAAAACGCUGAAAAUACCAAGUGUUGAUGAAGAUGUAGAGCAUUGGGAUUUUCAUGCACUUCUGAUGGAAAUGUAAAUUGGGAAAACCACUUUGGACAGCAGUUUGUCCACUCCUGUUUAUCCCGGAGGCCUGUGUAAAUGGCGUAUCUGAUUGCUUCCACCUGGCCUGUUGGCCUGUCACUUAACCUUCAUCACAGCCUGAGGGGCCACACGCAGAAGCUAAUGUUGAGGACAAACCAAAGAAAGUAACUUGUCCCCAUUAAAACAGCCAUCUCUCUGGGCUACCGUAUCCCCCGUAAUUUAUGCAGGAACCUAACAAAUCUUGCCUGUCCCCAAGGAGGAAUCAAAUGACCAUUACAUUGCAAUUGCAGAAAAUCACUCUUAGGCAGAGACAAGACCCUGUCAGGGGUGCAGGACAAGAUCACAAGUCCACGUGCAGCCACGCCAGGGCUGCAGAGCUUCCCUUCAGGCCAGACGUCUGCUGCCCUCACUUGGGCAGCACUAAUUGGAAAAGAGGCCUGGAACUCUUCGAGAAAGUUAGAAAAAUUGAGCCAGUUGUGCUUGAGCACCAAUUAAUGGCAAGGGUGACUGAGCUUUACAGUCUUCCAGCAUGGGGCUUGGUGGGCAGACAAAACCCACUCUGUGUCUUAAUUCUAAACACAUGUUCCCAAAGUGUCACUAUUGUGUUGCUUGGAAGUACGAGUCCUGCUUUUACAGUUGUUUCCUGGCUUCCAGAAAAGGUACACAGUCUUGUUCUUUUCCCGCCCCUCUGCAGAAGAAAAAACACUCAGUCCAGAGGGGUGAGGAUUUGCUCAAAUCUCCUCACUUCUUAGCAAAAAUACGUUCCAAACCUCUAGGCUCGUGCUGACUUCAAACGUGCCAGUUGUGCCUCUAGGAAUCUGUACCCCUUGUGGAAAAGCUCCAAGCAGCAAAGAGUGGGUGGACAGAGGAAACCCUGUGUGGCCAGAGCACAAGCACAGAUUGUAUCUUUCAUUCUUAGCCCCAUCUUUUUCUUUAAUGUCCUUUUACGUCCAGCCAUACCCAAGAGGUCAGGUCUCUGACAGGUCACCAGUGGAGCAUAACUUUACAUCUGGCUGCUCUGAAGACUUCUUACAGGUUCACUGUACAACAGCUUGCCUUUAUAGAGCAUCUUACAAACCCCAAGGAAAGCUGCUUUUUCAGUGCAUCAGUGAGGAGCUGUACGAAGGGAAGAGUCCUAGGGUUUCUCCUAAAGCUGACCAAAAGGACAGAAGGUCUUUCACUGCAGCCCAAGACCAUUCUAAGGGGAGAAGCUUGCUGGAGUUCAGUAGUAAACCUCUGCUCUUCCACGGCAUCUGGCUCAUCCUCAGCAGCACCUUGAGAGUUACAGGGACCACUCUUAUGAGCUCUUCAUUUUGCUUUGGAUAUGAAGAAGCGGAAAGGAGGAGAAAAACCUCCAGGCCUCACCAGAAAAGGAGCAGUGCUCAUUGUUGUAGAAUAAAAAGAUAAUGGCCAAUUUGUCAAGAAGUGUUGACAAGAAAGAUAAAGUUGGAAGUAAUUAACUGGCUGACAUGCUGGGAGUGAUGCGCCUGCCAGUAGCUCCCUAAAUCAGCCAGAGCCUUGGAAAUGUGACAGCCAUUCUUCAUUUUUACAACAUGCCUCUGUCAGGCCCCUGGGUUGGAAGGCCAGCACAAAUCGUGUACUUUGACUCUCUGGGGCUGUGCGGCCUCUCAGUGCCUUAUGCAGGGCUGUGCUAGGGCACCUGGCCCUGCGUCCAGCCAGGAGGGCCUAGAAGUGAUGUGUCAAAUGGGACAGCUUGCUGGGCUAUUGCUGAGCACUGUGUCCAUCCUCAGAGGAUGGGCACUCUGAUUCCCAGAGCCAGCUUUGCAGACUUCUCCAGGACAGAUAACCUAGGGAGUGUAGAGUGCUGAAGGUGAGCUCCUGAGCGGCACUCCUGGGGGCCUGGUAAUCUGACAAGUGCUGCUCUCAGCUAGCCAAGAGGCUGCGCCCACACACUGGGUUCAUGCAGGGCAUCUAGCAGCAGGCUGGAAUGAUUGUGUGGCCAUUACAAGUAAUUAUGAAGACUCUGGAUAAAAUGGGAAAUGCCUGUUACGUGAAAAAGCAAAA